UCUCUCUCUCUCUCUCUCUCUCUCUCUCUCUCUCUCUCUCUCUCUCUCUCUCUCUCUCUCUCUCUCAGCACCGGCCAAGCCCCAACAGGUGGAUGGAUGGCUGUACCGAUGCGGAGCUCAGAAGAGUCCGGGUUGGGGGAGGGGGAAGUGACCCUCCCGGGACCUCUCUCCUGGGAAGAAAUAAAACCAGGAGCCUCGAAGACCAUCACUCCGCCGCCCACCCCUCAGCCCCGCCUCGCCUGCUAACUAGGAGUGUGGGGAAGGAGUGACAAGCAGCCGAAAGCUAGCAGGGCCUCUUGGGGUCAGCAAGCAGAGGGAGACCCAGUGCCUGAAAGAAGGUCAGGCAUUAUUAGAAGGAAAGAGAGACCAAGAAUCAGAAGGAAGAGGAUCCAUGAUGGCUUCGGGAAGAAGAGAGGGAAAGACCCUAGGCCAGAUUUGUUUAUUAGGACCACGGAAUUUUGAGCUGGAAGGGAUCACCAAGUCCAAACACAUUUUAAGAUAAAGAAACUGAGACAGAGAGAGGUGUUCAAAGGCAAACAUGCAGCAAACUCCAGAACCAGGAUCCAAGCCCAGUUUCCUCUCUGCACUAACGCCAGGGCUAUCUCCAUUAUCUUAACUGACUGUAAGACUAAGUGGAAGAAGUAUUCACGGACAGAGUCUGAUGGAGCCAUUUCUUCAAGUGGACAAAGGAUCUUAGCACUACCUUCUCAGAGCAGUUUGGGGGUAAAAAUGGAGGGAAACAUUUCCUCUACAAGAUUUACAAUAUCUUGUUUUUCAUCAGCCAACAACUUGUUCUGAAAAUAGGAAGAGGCUAGACCUUAGCAUGAGCAAAUUGGGAAUUUGGGCAUUAAAGAUUUGGGUCACAGUAACAAUCUGGUUUCCUGUGGGUCACUCUAUUGAAGUGGCUCUCAAAAUUACCUCCUAAUCACCAAAUCCAAGGUUCUGUUGGAUCCCAGGCCUUAUUCCCCUUUAACCCUCUUCUGUGACUACCUCCCCCCACCAAAGACUAGUGCCUUCCCCUCUCUUCCAUCUGCUCUGUAUUUAUUUGUCUCCUUCAUUAGACUGCAAGCUUCUUGAGAUUAAGGACUAUUUUUGCUUUUUCUUUGUAUCACCCUGAACAUAAUAAACUAUUAAGAAAUGCUAGUUUGUUGAUUGAUGGAUUGAUUUGACAUUGUUCUGCUCCCCCUUUCUUGAAAUUCUUCACUCCCCUGGCUUUUGCUUUCCCUGGCUCUCUCAACCUCUUUGGCCAACGGUCACCUCUCCCACUCUCUAAAGGCAAAUUCUCAAUGAUGCAGUCAACUUCCCCUCCAAUCUAUCCUACACACUGUUGCCAAAAUAACAAUAACAAUUUUAAUAGGUACCUCUCUGGUCUUCUCACUCUCUGACUCAAAAUGACUUCCCACUUCCCAUUUGUUAAAAUGGUUUAAGAGUCUUUGGCCUGGUAUUCAAAGCCUUCCCCUAACAAUGUUCCAACCUCAAGCUUCCUUUUUCUUCACCUUAUGCUCUAAUCAAACAGUGAUGUCCACUGUUCUCCCAAAACUUCCUAUUUUCUUCUGCCCUCGUGCCUUUGCAUGCCUUAUGCUAUAUCAGAGUAAAUUGUUAGUAUUUUCUUUACUAGAUUGUAAAGGCAGCUUGGCAUAGUAGCUAGCUAGCUUUGGGACCUAGGAAAACCUGGAUAAAAGUCCACCUCCUUUUAUAUACAAGUACUGUGUGAUUCUGGGAAGGCCUCUUAACCUCUCAAUCCCAGGCAACUAUCUAAGACCAUGAAUUGCUGAUCUUAGAUAGAGGGAGUUCACUACAC